rnacentral:lncRNA from 1 species
AUUUUCUUGGUUCUAGGAUCCAUCAUUUACCUACCAAGAUAACUACCUUACUUACCAUAAACGUGAACGAUGCAGGCGGCUAGAGGGCUCGCUCGGUAGCUAAAAGUGAUUGCUACACAGGGGCAGCAAUCUGAAUUCAGUCCCCAGGAGCCAUGGAAAGCAGGAAGGAGAUGACCAGCUGCGUGGUUAGCUUCUGACUUCCCCACACGUGCUGUGACCCACACCCA